UACGUAGGUCCCGAGCGUUGUCCGGAUUUAUUGGGCGUAAAGCGAGCGCAGGCGGUUUGAUAAGUCAGAAGUAAAAGGCUGUGGCUCAACCAUAGUACGCUUUUGAAACUGUCAAACUUGAGUGCAGAAGGGGGGAGUGGAAUUCCAUGUGUAGCGGUGAAAUGCGUAGAUAUAUGGAGGAACACCGGUGGCGAAGGCGGCCUGCUGGACGAUGACUGACGUUGAGGCUCGAAAGCGUGGGGAGCAAACAGG
rnacentral:rRNA from 1 species